CGGUUCAAAGGGGCCAUGGUCCUUAUUUAACCCUCGUUGAUGUCAUCUAGGGUAGGGUUUUUAGUUUACUUACAGCACCCAAAAUCCAAAUGCUCUGAUUCAUGGGUUCAUAACUGCUGAAAGCCAAAAGAUACCAUGGCGUUUGAUUUCUACAUCAACACAAUCUUCGUCUGUGUUCACGACGUUUUCCUAAGCUUUAGAUUCGAAAAUACUUUACAAAGCAGUUUAUGCCGGAAAUCGAGAAAGCAAUCACAUGAUUUCAACACUGCGAUUGUUUCUGGUAUAGCAUGAAUUUCACUCAUUUCAAGCUCUAAUUUGAAGGUUGGUACACAUUACUACUGGAUUGAAAUACACAAGGAGAAUUUCGAGAAAGCAGUAGAAAAGGUGUUGGCAAGCUUCCCAGAAAGGGAGGAAGUAAAAAUUUUUGUAGAAAGUUACAAGGAAAAGCUCAAAAAGCUUUUCAAUAAAAAAGAAGAUGAAACAACACCGCCAACACCACAAACAACAACAAAUGAUCAACCUCUUGAAAUAGCUGUACCAAAAGAAACUGAAGCUCAAACACCUAUGCAAAAGGUUGAUGUCGAUGGAACAAGAGACAAAAGCAAGUCAAAUCAGAUAGUAUCGAGUCAACCGAGUUUCAAUUUAGGAAUAAGCCCUAUACAAGUUCCAUUUGAAGAAGUGGAUGCUGAAAAGCAAAAUGCGGAGGAUGUAAAGGAAAGACUGCAUAGAAUCAAACAUCCAACAUAUGCAUCCAAAUCUCCGUAUUUAGUAAGAGUAGUUGAUAUUUGCAAACCAUUAACCAAAGAUGAGUUGAAGAUCUGGGAUUAUUUGAUGGAAGGUUCAGAAAAACAAUUCUCAGCAUUUUAUCAGUUCUAAAAUACGCCAGAUUGAAUAUUUUAUAUCAAGUUUUAACAUCACAUUGUGAAACUUUGGAUAUUGGAUUCAAGAAGACAACCCUAAAAAGGAAUGUGAUGGUGAUAUGAAAAAAGAUGCAUGCACAUUAUGUCUGGAAACAAUGGAGAUUGAAACUGAUUUUGGGGAUGAUGUGUUCAAGUGUGCUUCUGGAAUUGUAACAAAAAAAGUUUUUGUUAAGAUCUUUAGUACCAGGUCAGACAUUGCUAAGCAAUGUCAUAGACUGCUGGACUGCAGUUUUGAAUCAUGAUGAAGAAUUUCGAAGCCCAGGUUCAGAUAAGAGACUUUUUUGUGAUACAAAUGUAAUGAAACACAUGUUUGUAGCCUACCUAAAAGCAAUGGGUAAAGCAAAAUGGAAAUAAAUGAAAUCUGUGAAACCUCAAAAACUGAAGCUGGAUUGGGCAACAAAGAAAAACAACAUUGACUGUGGAGUAUUUGUUAUGAGACAUAUGGAGACAUACAAGGAAAGCAGCGUCAAGAACUGGGAAUGUGGAUUCAAAACAGAAAAAAAGCAAGAAACAAGACGCACAAAUUAAAAUUAGCUUGCUUAGACAAAAAUACGCUGCAAAGAUUUUGCUUUCGAAAGCAAAUCUUCACAGAGAAUUUGUGAUCCAGAAAACAUGUUGAUAUUUUGAAGCGUUUGUUUUUAGGUUAUGAGUCAUACCAAACCACUUUCUUUGGCUAUGUUGAUUUUUUUAGGUUUCUAAACCGUAGGAAUCCAGUACCCCCUAUACUAGUUGAACCGAUAGUUUUGAAGAUUUAGUGACUUGUUGAUGAUUUGUAAGUGUACUUGAACUGAUAAUUUUGAGGAUUUUGUUGAACUGAUAGUUUUGAAGAUUAGUGACUUGAUGAUU